AUUGGCACGAUGAGGAACUUAUUGCAUAAAUAUUGAGUUCAGUUGAUCUUUGAAAUUCUAAAAUAUAUUAAAGUCCUUUUCAUUCUGAGUGCCCU
rnacentral:snoRNA from 1 species